UAGUCCACGCCGUAAACGAUGGACACUAGUUGUUGGGAUUUAUCUCAGUGACUAAGCGAAAGUGAUAGGUGUCCCACCUGGGGAGUACGAUCGCAAGAUUGAAACUCAAAGGAAUUGACGGGGGCCCGCACAAGCGGUGGAGCAUGUGGUUUAAUUCGAUGAUACGCGAGGAACCUUACCAGGGCUUAAAUGUAGAUUGACAGAUUGGGAAACCAGUCCUCCUUCGGGCAAUUUACAAGGUGCUGCAUGGUUGUCGUCAGCUCGUGCCGUGAGGUGUCGGGUUAAGUCCCAUAACGAGCGCAACCCCUACUGUUAGUUGCCAGCGAGUAAUGUCGGGGACUCUAGCAGAACUGUCGGCGUAAGCCGCGAGGAAGGUGGGGAUGACGUCAAAUCAUCACGGCCCUUACGUCCUGGGCUACACACGUGCUACAAUGGCGCAUACAAAGGGCAGCUACCUGGUGACAGGAUGCUAAUCUCUAAAGUGCGUCUCAGUUCGGA
rnacentral:rRNA from 1 species